rnacentral:rRNA from 1 species
AGGACGAACGCUGGCGGCGUGCUUAACACAUGCAAGUCGAGCGGAAGGGCCCUUCGGGGUACUCGAGCGGCGAACGGGUGAGUAACACGUGAGCAACCUGCCCUUAGCUUCGGAAUAGCUCCGGGAAACCGGAAUUAAUACCGGAUAUGACCACGGCCGACAUCGGCCAUGGUGGAAAGUUUUUCGGCUAGGGAUGGACUCGCGGCCUAUCAGCUAGUUGGUGAGGUAACGGCCCACCAAGGCGACGACGGGUAGCCGGCCUGAGAGGGCGACCGGCCACACUGGGACUGAGACACGGCCCAGACUCCUACGGGAGGCAGCAGUGGGGAAUAUUGCGCAAUGGGCGAAAGCCUGACGCAGCGACGCCGCGUGGGGGAUGAAGGCCUUCGGGUUGUAAACCCCUUUCAGCAGGGACGAAGCGAGAGUGACGGUACCUGCAGAAGAAGCGCCGGCUAACUACGUGCCAGCAGCCGCGGUAACACGUAGGGCGCAAGCGUUGUCCGGAAUUAUUGGGCGUAAAGAGCUCGUAGGUGGUUUGUUACGUCCGCUGUGAAAACCUAGGGCUUAACCCUGGGCUUGCAGUGGAUACGGGCAGACUAGAGGUAGGUAGGGGGAGAAAUGGAAUUUCCUGGUGGUAGCGGUGGAAAUGCCGCAGAUAUCAGGAGGAACACCGGUGGCGAAAGGCGGUUCUCUGGGCCUUACCUGACACUGAGGAGCGAAAGCGUGGGGAGCGAACAGGAUUAGAUACCCUGGUAGUCCACGCCGUAAACGUUGGGCGCUAGGUGUGGGGUCCUUCCACGGAUUCCGUGCCGCAGCUAACGCAUUAAGCGCCCCGCCUGGGGGAGUACGGCCGCAAGGCUAAA